UGACCAAGAGGGCCCCAUAUGUGUUUCCCCAUUCAGAACCCAUAUAGAGGUAGCUUAUGUGGGUACUACCUUGGGCCCAUGUAGGCAGCCUAUAUGGGACUGAUUGUGUUUGCCCAUGUUUUACCCAUAUGGUUUGACCAAGAGGGCCCCAUAUGUGUUUCCCCAUUUAGAACCCAUAUAGAGGUAGCUUAUGUGGGUACUACCUUGGGCCCAUGUAGGCAGCCUAUAUGAGACUGAUUGUGUUUGCCCAUGUUUUACCCAUAUGGUUUGACCAAGGGGGCCCCAUAUGUGUUUCCCCAUUUAGAACCCAUAUAGAGGUAGCUUAUGUGGGUACUACCUUGGGCCCAUGUAGGCAGCCUAUAUGAGACUGAUUGUGUUUGCCCAUGUUUUACCCAUAUGGUUUGACCAAGAGGGCCCCAUAUGUGUUUCCCCAUUUAGAACCCAUAUAGAGGUACCUUAUGUGGGUACUACCUUGG